rnacentral:piRNA from 1 species
UAGAAGAACAGUUGGCUGGACAUUGGGA